GAUGAAGAACGCAGCGAAAUGCGAUAAGUAAUGUGAAUUGCAGAAUUCAGUGAAUCAUCGAAUCUUUGAACGCACAUUGCGCCCGCCAGUAUUCUGGCGGGCAUGCCUGUUCGAGCGUCAUUUCAACCAUCAAGCCCCCGGCUUGUGUUGGGGACCUGCGGCUGCCGCAGGCCCUGAAAAGCAGCGGCGGGCUCGCUGUCACACCGAGCGUAGUAGCAUACAUCUCGCUCUGGGCGUGCUGCGGGUUCCGGCCGUUAAACCACCUUCAUAACCCAAGGUUGACCUCGGAUCAGGUAGGAAGACCCGCUGAACUUAAGCAUAUCAAUAAGCGGAGGA
rnacentral:misc_RNA from 1 species